rnacentral:lncRNA from 1 species
AGCAUAACAAAACAUCUGACUGGACCUUCGCAGAUUGAGCAUAUCACAAGCAUACAUAUCUUGAUGAGACAUGGUAGCACCAUUUUUAGUACAUGGCCAGCAAGACAGAGUAUUAAGGACUAAUAUCUUGAUAGUACAUAAAAGAAAUGCUCUAGCCGUUCCCUCCAGUUCUACUACUUGCUCAUGAAGCUUCUUGUUCUAGGAAAGAUCACACCAAGCAAACCAUAUUCAGUUGAGUGCAGCCACAUACAGAUGCAUGAUCAAGAACAGACUUAAAUUUAUAUUGCAGAGAAAUUCUCUCAAGUGUCAGAAAGGGAAGACUUUGAUAAAAGCUUCUUCUAUCCAUCUGUAGUCCUGAUGUUUCCGGUAGUCAGAGCAUCAUGCAUCUACAAAUACAAGCAAAAAUAGUUUACAUUACAAGGACAUAAAUAGGAAAACAAUUAAGAAUGCAAUUCAAGUUCUUCUAAUAACUCGUAUAUGACAAAAGUAAAAAUUUGAUGUUGCAGCACAAAGUCACAUGUCAGACUAGUGAAGAGACAAAGAAAGAAUAUCACAUGGCAAAAUAUAAUCACAGCUUGACAAUGACAGAUCACUUGUAUCAAUUUUUGCAACUCAUCAUCCCAGUAAGACUUGCUUAACGCGAAUAGCUUACGACCGGUUGUUCUGCUGUAUUGAUAUUACAUUAUGACUCAAUGGCUGGUUAGCAACCGAAGGCCUAUCCCAAAUCAAGCCCAAUACACAGAAAGAGUGUCUUCUUUUCUACAUACACAGAAAGAGUAUCUUAUUUUCUACAUAUACGCAGAAAGUGUGUCUUCUUUUCUACAUACAAAAGGUAAAAAAUGUUGUCUUUUUAUAAUUGUAGUGUCAUAAAAGCCGAAUGAGGAAGACCAAAGAGCCAAUACAAUUGUUUCACUAAAGCAAAACUAUCAUGAUUUUAGUUUCGGUGGCAUUACUGGACAAAUUGACAGUGAACUCCCAGAAAUCAGUGAAGUGGCACACAUUGCAAGUGUAACGAAUUCCAGUCUUGUGCCUACAAGCACUUCACAUGCAGGUACUUUAAUAGGUAGAUGAGAUUAGUAUGUCCUCAUGUACAAUAUCCGACAAGAGGAUGAAAUUUCACAAUACAAAACUGCUCGAAAAUCUAGUAUAAGCAAACUUGUCCGGUGAUUAAUUUUUCUAUGCAUUGAUAUAGAGAGAUAUCCCUAUUAUUGCUCUCAAGUUGAAAGCAAGCAUAUCCCAGAUGAGCAUAAACUAGUUGUCCAGUCAAAAUUUUGAAGUAAGCAAACAUUAUGUGUUUUGUUGUGGCUAAUCAACACCGAAUAAAGGUCUCUCUAAAUUAACUGAAUCUGGUACAGCAAAGUAUCAAUACAUACUAAACUAAGAUUCCGCACUAUAGUUUGUGGUACAAACAUUGAACAAAAAUGAUUUCCUACAUAAAUGCUACAUAAUUAACUAGGGAAAAUUGGUAGCAACCUCACAGGCAAGCAUACAGAGAGAUAUCCUUGUUAUUGCUCUCAAGUUGAAAGCAAGCAUAUCCCAGAUGAGCAUGAACUAGUUGUCCAGCCCAAAUUUUCAAGUAAUCACACAUUGUGUCUUUUUGUUAUGGCUAAUCAAUACUGGAUAAAUGUCUCUCAGAAUUAACUGAAUUUGGUACAGAGAAGUGUGUGUAUAUGCCAAUGGGUUUGCUACUGUACUACUUAAGCAUACUUCUCUGAAUAUAGCCUUUGCGCAAAAUAAUUGUAAGCUUCCAAGCUACUGCUACUCAUGUUAAAAAUAUGUUAUCUAACCUAAAUGUGCAUAUGCUUAGAAUUUUCAAAAUGUUGUCAUUCAUAUCAUUUCUAAAUAUGCAGAAUUAUACAACAUCCAACAACGAUAUAACAUAGUUCUCGGACAAGAAGGAUUUCUUUUACGAGCGCUACAUGAAAUGCUACAGAAUUAACUAUGUAAACUGGUAGCAACCUGGCAGACAAGCAUACCUGAAGGCUAGCUGUAGUUUUCUUCUCAGGCGUUACCAGAUGGCGGAG